GGGGAAUCCAACAGUCAGACCGGGCCCAGACAAGGGAGGCCAGACACUGCGGUGCUGCGGGAGUGGAGUGGGCUGCUCUCGGGAGCAAGGGGUCCCAAGUUCAAUUUGGGCCUCACCAUGUCUCAGAUCUUUUUAUAGGCCCUUGGAAAGUUCCCAGCCCAGUACCUGGCCAUUGUCCUAAGGAUAAAAUAGAACCACCUGUGUUUGGUGGGAGAAGGGCUGAGGGGGACCUCUCUGGACACUGCCCUCCCCAACCAGCAGCCAUGUAGAAAGAUGGCAAGACGAAGUCACUCAGUGGCCUUGAGGGACCAAAAGGAUCACGAUAACAUUGGUGACUUCUCUGGACCAGCCAUAGCCCUCUCCGCUGGUUUUUCCUGCAUGCUGGGGGCCUCAAAAUGACUGAAAUUGAAAAUAUUAUUCAUUCAUUUAUUCAGUAUUUACUGAGCCAUAAAUCAAUACAACGCUUAACGAAAGCAAUUUGGCAUCAUCUGCUAAAAUGACAACUGCAAAUACCCUUUGAUUCAGCGAUUCCACUUUCGAGAAUGUGUUUCAUGGAUGUAUUUAUUCUUACACUUAAUCAAAUCCAUAUAAGGUUAUCCAUUGCUGCAUUUUCAGGAAUUAAAAAAAAUUGGAAACAACUCAAAUGACCAUCAAUAGAGGACUGGUUACAAAAAUUAUUAUGUAUUCAUACAAUGGAAUAAUAUGCAGCUGUGAAAAUAAGAAUGGCACCCCUCUCUUUAGUCUUGUGGAAGGAGUGCCAAGAUACACUGUUGAAUUUUUUUUACAAGGCAAGGUGCAGAAUGCUGUAUAGUACUCUAUCUUUUAUGUAAGAAGAUGGGGAAAAUGUGGCUGAGAGAUGAGAAA
rnacentral:lncRNA from 1 species